GCACUUCGGGAUAAGCCUGGGAAACUGGGUCUAAUACCGAAUAGGACCAUUUAGCGCAUGCUUUAUGGUGGAAAGCUUUUGCGGUGUGGGAUGGGCCCGCGGCCUAUCAGCUUGUUGGUGGGGUAACGGCCUACCAAGGCGACGACGGGUAGCCGGCCUGAGAGGGUGUCCGGCCACACUGGGACUGAGAUACGGCCCAGACUCCUACGGGAGGCAGCAGUGGGGAAUAUUGCACAAUGGGCGCAAGCCUGAUGCAGCGACGCCGCGUGGGGGAUGACGGCCUUCGGGUUGUAAACCUCUUUCAGCAGGGACGAAGCGCAAGUGACGGUACCUGCAGAAGAAGCACCGGCCAACUACGUGCCAGCAGCCGCGGUAAUACGUGGGGUGCGAGCGUUGUCCGGAAUUACUGGGCGUAAAGAGCUCGUAGGUGGUUUGUCGCGUUGUUCGUGAAAACCGGGGGCUUAACCCUCGGCGUGCGGGCGAUACGGGCAGACUGGAGUACUGCAGGGGAGACUGGAAUUCCUGGUGUAGCGGUGGAAUGCGCAGAUAUCAGGAGGAACACCGGUGGCGAAGGCGGGUCUCUGGGCAGUAACUGACGCUGAGGAGCGAAAGCGUGGGGAGCGAACAGGAUUAGAUACCCUGGUAGUCCACGCCGUAAACGGUGGGUACUAGGUGUGGGUUUCCUU
rnacentral:rRNA from 1 species